rnacentral:rRNA from 2 species
AACGAACGCUGGCGGCAGGCUUAACACAUGCAAGUCGAGCGCCCCGCAAGGGGAGCGGCAGACGGGUGAGUAACGCGUGGGAAUCUACCUUUUGCUACGGAAUAACGCAGGGAAACUUGUGCUAAUACCGUAUGUGUCCUUCGGGAGAAAGAUUUAUCGGCAAGAGAUGAGCCCGCGUUGGAUUAGCUAGUUGGUGGGGUAAAGGCCUACCAAGGCGACGAUCCAUAGCUGGUCUGAGAGGAUGAUCAGCCACAUUGGGACUGAGACACGGCCCAAACUCCUACGGGAGGCAGCAGUGGGGAAUAUUGGACAAUGGGCGCAAGCCUGAUCCAGCCAUGCCGCGUGAGUGAUGAAGGCCCUAGGGUUGUAAAGCUCUUUCACCGGAGAAGAUAAUGACGGUACCCGGAGAAGAAGCCCCGGCUAACUUCGUGCCAGCCGCCGCGGUAA